rnacentral:rRNA from 1 species
GUCGGAUUAGCUAGUUGGUGGGGUAACGGCCUACCAAGGCGAUGAUCCGUAGCUGGUCUGAGAGGAUGAUCAGCCACACUGGGACUGAGACACGGCCCAGACUCCUACGGGAGGCAGCAGUAGGGAAUAUUGGACAAUGGGGGCAACCCUGAUCCAGCAAUGCCGCGUGAGUGAUGAAGGCCUUCGGGUUGUAAAGCUCUUUCGGCGGGGACGAUGAUGACGGUACCCGCAGAAGAAGCCCCGGCUAACUUCGUGCCAGCAGCCGCGGUAAUACGAAGGGGGCGAGCGUUGUUCGGAAUUACUGGGCGUAAAGGGCGCGCAGGCGGCUCUUGCAGUCAGGUGUGAAAGCCCCGGGCUCAACCUGGGAGGUGCACUUGAUACUCGAGGGCUCGAGUACGGGAGAGGAGAGUGGAAUUCCCAGUGUAGAGGUGAAAUUCGUAGAUAUUGGGAAGAACACCGGUGGCGAAGGCGGCUCUCUGGACCGUAACUGACGCUGAGGCGCGAAAGCGUGGGGAGCA